GACGAACGCUGGCGGCGUGCUUAACACAUGCAAGUCGAACGGAAAGGCCCUGCUUUUGUGCGGUGCUCGGGUGCCGAACGCGUGAGUAACACGUAAGCAACCUGCCCUUGACUUUGGUAUAACUUCAGGUAACGCGGGUUACUACCGGAUAUCAUCUCCUGCUGCAUGGUGGGGGUUGGAUAGUUUCGGCUGUUGGGGAUGGACUGGCGGCUUACCGGUUUGUUGGUGGGGUAGUGGCUUACCAAGGCUUUGACGGGUAGCCGGCAUGAGAGGGUGACCGGCCACAUUGGUACUGAGAUAGGGCACAGACUCGUACGGGAGGCAACGGUGGGGAAUAUGACACAGUGGGAGGGAGCCUGAGGAGAAAGCGCCGGGGGGGGGAUGCCGGCCUGCGGGUAGAAAACCGCUGCAGCCUGAGACGAGGCGGUAGUGACGGUAACGGGAGAAGAAGCACCGGCUAACUACGUG
rnacentral:rRNA from 1 species